UUGAAAGGGAAACGAUUGAAGUCAGUCGUACUUGCGGGUAAUCAGCCUUUUGGGUGUGAUUCUGUGGAGCGUGGAGAGUUAAACGCCUUCAUGCCUGCAUAUUCAUGCACUUUGGGUGUACUUACCUGUGUGGUAGGUUAACAUCAAUUUUGAUCAUCAUAAAAUGACUGGAGGAAUGUAGCUUCGAUCUCGUAUUGAAGUGUUAUAGCCUUCGGUAGACGUGAUGUUUGGGAUUGAGGAUUGCAACGGAUACCCUUCGGGGCUACCUGUCUGAUCUCUGAUCGUUGCUCUGGUGUCGAAAGCUUGCUUACGGUCAUCAAAGUCGAUGGUCAACAGGCUAGAACGGGUUAAAUUCGUUAAGGAUGUUGACGUA
rnacentral:rRNA from 1 species